rnacentral:lncRNA from 1 species
UGAUUUUAGAACAACCUUAUAUCACGGCAACACGGAUGGAAACAAAAGUACUUGACGAUGGUUCUGCUUAUGCAAGGGUACGGAGCGAAGAUGGAAGGAAAGCUGUACAAUUUCUAACAGUACCUCCUAACCAUGAACGGAAUCGAGAUAGGUUGAGGGAGAAACCAUUGCCAAAGAUUGUUGAAGGAUUUAAGGAUUUUGAGAAGGUACCACUGUAAAGCGAGAUUAUGGAGGUACAAAAGAGGAGGUACUCUCACGAGAUGAAGGUGCCUUUGAUGCGAGUUUUAUUGGUAUAUUGGAGAAUGGAAAUAUUAUGUAUAAGAAAGUUGAUGAUUUUAAAAGAAAAGAAAGAAAAAGAUUAUAUAAUAUUGAAAGACAAUUAUGCAAGAUAGGUACAUUGCAAGAUAAUGAGAGGAUUUUGGGUGUUUAUGAAGAAAAUGGAUUGGAAGAUUCAUUGAAAUUGAUUACAUCUAUUGGGUUAGGGGAUAAUGAUAAGAUUGUUGAGAUUCAUUCGAGAGAGGUUUAUACCAUGCUUGAAUCUUUUCAAGCACCAAAAGUCACAGUAGAGACGAGAUAUAAAAUGGCAGAUAAGAAGGUAAAGCCUGUUGCCGGACCAUUACCAGAGGAUUCUAAAGAACAAAUGGGAGAAGCAUCAAAAGAAGCGAGUUUAAGAGAUCCAAUGAGUAUUGGACAUCAGUUUACUGAAGAGACUUUUGAAGAAUUGAAGAUUGGUUCUGAUGGUUCUUUAUUGCCGGAGGAAAUUACUUGCUUCAAAAAGAUGUUGGCUAAACAAGGUAGAUCGUUUGCCUUCGAAUCUCAUGAAAUUGGGUGUGUAGAUCCAAAUAUUAUAACACCUAUGGUUAUCUUCACUGUACCGCAUGUACCUUGGAAUCUAAGGCCGAUUCCAGUACCGAGGGCACAUUUACCUAAAUUGGUGGAACUAUUGAAAGAAAAGAUAAAGAUGAAAAUAUUAGAACCUUCAUUUGCGCCGUAUUCUAGUCGAUGGUUUACGGUACCUAAGAAGAAUGGGUCACUACGGUUUAUUCAAGAUAUGUAGCCGAUGAAUGCUGUAAUUAUCAGGAAUGCAGGAAUUGGACCUAUUGUGGAUGGAUUUGCUGAGGCGUUUGCUGGAAGGGCGAUCUAUUCAAUGGGUGAUUUGUAUUCAGGUUAUGAUCAAUUUCAACUUGUCGAAGGAAGUAGAGAUAUGACAACGAUGAGGACACCACUUGGAUUGGUUAGAAUGUGCACUCUUCCUCAAGGCGCGACCAACUCAGUUGCGCAUAUGAUGAAUGGGAUGAAUAAGCUUUUGAGAGAUUUUAUUCCGGAGAAGACUAUGCCUUUUUUGGAUGAUGUUCCUAUAAAAGGGUGCAGUGAAGGAGACAAGGAUGAAACUUUAGAUACGAGGGGGUGUCGCAGAUAUGUUGUUGAUUAUAUACAGGAUUGUGAAAAGAUUUUAACUCGGCUUGGAGAAGUUCAUCUUAUAUUAUCGGGUACGGAGUCCGUAUUUAGAUUACGAGAGGUUGUAAUUGUUGGACAUUUAUGUGGAUCUUACGGUGUCGUGUUGUAACACGAUUAUACAGUGAAAAUAAAAAGAAAGGAGAAUUUUAUUAAUAUUUAGUUACCUCGAAUAUUGGGAGCAUCGACCAACUCCAGUAUAAAUACUAAGUGGUCAGGUUCAGUCACUCCGUUACAGUCAGCCGGGGCAUACUGAAAUGCUCCAUUCGAUUCCAAUAACGGGAGUCAGCAGGAAGAGAAGGACCAAUUCACAAGACGGGUUCGAGGAGCCAAUUGGAUCUAAUUUCGAUAAUCCAAUCCAGGUCCUCUUAUCCAAUAUGAGACCUGAAUUGGCCGGUCAACCCAGUGCAGUCUAAUUACGAGAAAUCCAGGUCUUACUACGGGUCUUAGCCAAUCUGACGCAAGGACCAAUUUGAUCCCAAUUACGGGAACAUCUAGGUUACUACGGGCAUCUUUCCCAAUAUAGGACUUGAAUUGGUCGGGCGACUCAAUAUGGUCCCGAUUACGGGGUUCGAUUCUGUUUCAGGCUGUCCUGUUCUCUGUGCCGUCUCAGGGAACGUUGUUUUCAGUAAAUGGAUUUCUUAAAGGCAAAAACGGAGGAUAAAGCUUGACGGCGAGAGCCAAUUUUGGAUCCAAGCUUGAGGUGGGAGCCAAUUCCGGAUCUAAGACGGAAGAUUGAAGAAAUUCAGAGGAUAAGGUUAGGUGGGAUAUAGUUUUGGGGGUGGUUUUUUUUGAGGGAAAUCGGGGGGGGGGGGAAGGAUUUUUAAAGCUUCUGCAAGGUUACCAGUUCGGUUUUUUUAAUUGGAGGUUUUUGAAGAUCAAGGGGAUUAGAGAGAGGAGCUUCAUGCUUCGGGUCGGGGAAGGAAAGACAUAGAAUUUAGAUUUUUCUUCUUCGUAGAGUUUUGGGGAAGACUGAGGCAAUCGCUGCUGAAGUCAGUGUUGUAAUGGUGAAUCGGGAUUUUUAAAUGAAGUGGGUUUGAAUACUCUUGACUGUUUUGUGAAAUCGAGUUACGUCUGUGAUUGAAGGAUUAAAAGGAUGUCUAUAGGAUUGAGUAUGCGGAGUGAAUGAAAUUUAUUGGGUUAAUCUAACAAGACAGUCAGUGGAUACAAGAUCGUAAGUACAAAGCAGUAUUGAAGGUUAACAAUUUGGGUUGUACGGGGUUCUCUGUAACGUCUAGAGACCUACCGGCUGGGGCAAAAAGGACUUUGAUAAGCAGUCGAAGAGCACCCGUAUAGAUUUACGGUACAUUGUUGCAGUCGUUUAUAUUCCAGCAGUCAAAAACUGAUAGACUGCUUGACUAUCGGCAAAUCUCCAUACUACCUUCUACAGCUAGACGCCCGGCGCGUUCUCGAGCAGGAAAGCACGUAAUACGACAUAAGUGGUGAACCCGACGUGAAAGCUUGAGGUAGAAGGUAUUGGAUUUCGGUUGAUUUUAUCUUUAUUUUUAUAGAAAACGAAAAUAAAAAUUUUGAAGGAUUUUUGGAAGAAGUUUCUAGUGGGGAGACUUCUAAAGGACAAGAUAUGCACAUGGAUCCGUCUAUUGCUAGUUUGUUUCAAGCCUUCUCAUUGUCAAUGCAGCAACAGCAAAGCAAUGAUCGAAAAGAAGCUUUGGCAACCAAAGCAUUGUAAGCAGUGGUCAAUAAAAUUGAUCAAUUUGAUGGGAGGAAUAUUUCAAGGUAUUUAAGAUGUUAUGUUCGUGAAAUGGAAUUAAAUCGGGUUUCUGAGAAGAAAAUGGUUGCACUAUUUGGACUUGCCACGAUACCGGAGAUAAGGGACCACAUUACAUCGAUUACGGAUCGUUGUGGGAAUUCAUGGGAAGAUUUUUCACAUGCAUUGAAAGACGAAUAUUUCUUGGAAGAUGCUGAUCGCGUUACUAAGAAGCUGUUUCUGGGAUGGAUUGAACAGCCCAAUAAGAAUUUAUAAGCAACAGAGCUACUAAGGGAAUUUGAGAGGCAGUACUCUCAAUUAUCGAAGGUAGAAAAAUUGACAUUGGAGCCAAACAAAGUUGAUCUAUUUCUUCAAGCUACUGAUGGAGAAUUGCAAGAGAAAUUAGAACCCCUUCUUGAAGACAAAGAAAAAGAUGAAGGAUUGACAACGAAGUGGAAGAACGUUGAAGAUGCGGUGGGGUUGCUUACAAAAAAAGAAAGGAGGAAGGAUAGGAGUAAUAUUCCAAAAACAGUACAAGCACCCAAAGCUCCAGUACGUACAACACCACCGACAAUGCCUACAGUUCAACCUUCGACAUCCUUGUCAAAGAAAGCAGAUAUGGGUAUGGAAGAAAUUAUACGAGGAAUGCAAGAUCUUCAAAUCAAAUUGGCAAGACUUGAAGAGAAUACUUCUAUAAACAAUUCGAAGAAUGUUUCAAAACAAGGAUAUGUACAAAGAUGCAUUUGGUGUGAUGAUGCUUCACACACUAGAAAAGAUUGCAAUGAAUUUAAUAAUAUGAUACGGCAGGGAAUUAUUUGCUGGAAAGAUGGAAAGAUAGCAUUGAAAAAUAGAGAGGAUCUUCUUCAAACCAAUUUUGGCAAGGGAGGAAUGAGAGCAUUGGUUCAAGAUUACUUAAAAGAGCAUGAAACAGUAGCACGAGAAAGUGCAAGUUAUGGUACUAGAAUAGAUAAUGAAAUUGGUAGAAGUACGGAAACUAGUGAGUUUUGGGCUUCUGCCGUUUCUACAAUGCAAGAAGGAAAAUUACCUCGAGAAGCGUUAUUGAAAACUGCAGCUACAAUACAAGGUAGAAUAAGUUGGGAGGAUCCUGUUGAGUCUCUUUGAGUUUAUGCAUAUAUUGCUAAGAGCCAACAUGAAGCUUUGAUGGAAGAAAAAAGACGAGGAAAUUUUGAUGAUACUAGAGAAGGAAAUUCUUUUAAGAGGCAAACUCGAGGAGACAAGGCUCGGGAGGCAGCUUCAUAAGAAUUGCCUGAAAAGGAUACCUCAGUAUCAUUGGGAGAGAAAACAAUGGAGACAAAAGAUAAGGGCAAAUCAAUUGCUUAUAAGCUACUUUCUGACAUUGAAGCGGCAACAAAUUUGAAAGGGGUGUUGGAAGAACGUAUAUUAAACGCUAAGGUGGAAUUCACAUUGAAAGAAGUCUUGGGAAUUGCAAAGAAGGAGUUUCUUGAUGUUAUCAUUGACAACAUUAAGCGAAAGAGGCAAUUAAUGGGCAAAACUGGAAUGAGUCAUGCUAUUGAUGCAAGAAUAUAUAGAGAUGAAGAAGAGGUUGAUAUUGGUUACAAGCAACCAACAAAUGAAAAGAAUGGGUAUAAUCAGCGAGUACGUUUCGAAGAUUCUAGUGACAAGGAAAUAGAAACUUUAAGACAUUAUAAUCGAAAGCAUUGGGCAAGGGCAACUACUGAGGUAUUGGUGAAGGUAGGAGAUAUAGAAGAACCAAUAGUUACUUUGGUCGACCACGGUUCUGAAAUAAAUCUCAUGUCUAAAGAUCUUUAUAAGAAGAAAAAAUGGCCAAUUGAUAUGGAACAUGGAUGGGCAAUACGAGCAGCUAAUAAUACACGAGGCGAAUUAUAUGGAGCUUGUCCAAAUAUCAAAAUUCGGAUUGGGGAUGUUGCGACGGAGCAACAUUUCUUCGUUUAAGAUACAACGUCUUAUCCGUUGAUUUUAAGACAACCUUAUAUCACGGCAACACGGAUGGAAACAAAGGUACUUGUUGAUGGUUCUGCUUAUGUAAGGGUACGGAGCGAAGAUGGGAUGAAAGCUGUACAAUUUCUAACAGUACCUCCUAACCAUGAACGGAAUCGAGAUAGGUUGAGGGAGAAACCAUUGCCAAAGAUUGUUGAAGGAUUUAAGGAUUUUGG